rnacentral:rRNA from 1 species
GAUGAACGCUAGCGGGAGGCUUAACACAUGCAAGUCGAGGGGCAGCACAGGUAGCAAUACUUGGUGGCGACCGGCGGACGGGUGCGUAACGCGUAUGCAACCUACCUUAUACAGGGGGAUAGCCCGGGGAAACUCGGAUUAAUAUUCCAUAGUUCAGUAAAUUCGCAUGGGAUUACUGAUAAAACUCAGGUGGUAUAAGAUGGGCAUGCGUCUGAUUAGGUAGUUGGUAGGGUAACGGCCUACCAAGCCGACGAUCAGUAGGGGUUCUGAGAGGAUCAUCCCCCACACUGGUACUGAGACACGGACCAGACUCCUACGGGAGGCAGCAGUGAGGAAUAUUGGUCAAUGGGCGCAAGCCUGAACCAGCCAUCCCGCGUGAAGGAUGAAGGCCUUAUGGGUUGUAAACUUCUUUUGUACCUGAAGAACCCUUCUACGUGUAGGAGGUUGCCGGUAAGGUACGAAUAAGCAUCGGCUAACUCCGUGCCAGCAGCCGCGGUAAAAGU